GUGUCAGCAGCCGCGGUAAUACGUAGGUGGCAAGCGUUGUCCGGAUUUAUUGGGCGUAAAGGGAGCGCAGGCGGUCUUUUAAGUCUGAAUGUGAAAGCCCUCAGCUUAACUGAGGAAGAGCAUCGGAAACUGAAAGACUUGAGUGCAGAAGAGGAGAGUGGAACUCCAUGUGUAGCGGUGAAAUGCGUAGAUAUAUGGAAGAACACCAGUGGCGAAGGCGGCUCUCUGGUCUGUUAUUGACGCUGAGGCUCGAAAGCAUGGGUAGCGAACAGGAUUAGAUACCCUGGUAGUCCAUGCCGUAAACGAUGAGUGCUAAGUGUUGGGAGGUUUCCGCCUCUCAGUGCUGCAGCUAACGCAUUAAGCACUCCGCCUGGGGAGUACGACCGCAAGGUUGAAACUCAAAUAAAUUGACGG
rnacentral:rRNA from 1 species